rnacentral:rRNA from 1 species
AUGAAAUGGCACGUCGUCGCGGUGCUGGGCGUGGCCUGCACCGUCGUCGCCGACAGGGGGCUCUCGUUCACCGGCGCCGUGGCACCUCCGGAGGAGGUGAGCUACCUGCGCAAGCUGGCCAACUCCCUGUGGCAGAGCGACGGAACCACCUACCACCACGUGUGGCCGCCCAUGAAAUUUGGGUGGAAAUUUGUGUUGGGUUCAUUCAUUGGAUUCUUCGGAGCAGCAUUCGGCAGCAUCGGCGGUGUAGGUGGCGGCGGGAUCUUCGUGCCGAUGCUUACCUUGAUCAUCGGCUUUGAUCCCAAGUCAUCGGCGGCGAUGUCAAAGUGUAUGAUCAUGGGGGCCGCCGUGUCAACUGUGUACUGUAACCUCAAGCUGAAGCACCCAACAUUGGACAUGCCAGUGAUAGACUAUGAUCUAGUCCUGCUCAUACAGCCCAUGCUGAUGCUAGGGGUCAGCAUUGGGGUCAUCUGCAAUGUGAUAUUCCCUGACUGGCUCGUCACAGUCCUCUUGAUCAUUCUCUUCAUAGUUACUUCAACUAAAGCUUUUCUGAAGGCUAUCGAAACAUGGAAGAAAGAGACGAUAAUCAUAACGGAGACAGCAAUACGAUCGGAACAAACCACAGCUGAAGAACAGGAGUACAUGCCGCUGUCUGAAGGACUCAAUGCCACAUCUCAGACUGAAAAUAUGCCGGAUCAUGAUCGAAAUGAAACCCCGUCAGACGAAGCGGUAUCCAUUUGGAAGAAUGUUUACUGGAAGGAGGUUGGCCUUCUUGCCUUUGUCUGGGUAGCAUUCCUUGGUCUUCAGGUCACUAAGAACUACAUGGCAACUUGCUCCAUCUGGUAUUGGGUUCUGAACUUACUCCAGAUCCCUGUGUCUGUUGGGGUGGCCAUGUACGAGGCAGUAGGUUUGGUGCAGGGGAGGAGGGUGAUAUCAUCAAAGAGGAAUGAGCAGAACAGCCUGAAAGCUCAUCAGCUACUGGUGUACUGCUUCUUGGGCGUCACCGCUGGUGUCGUUGCCGGUCUGCUUGGCGUCGGUGGGGGCUCCAUCAUGGGGCCUCUCUUCCUGGAGCUCGGUGUUCCUCCGCAAGUAAAUCGAUCUUUGUUCACUCAUGUUAAUAACCUUAUGUAUUGA